rnacentral:tRNA from 1 species
GGGAAUGUGGUUUAGUGGUAAAAUGCUUGCCUAGCAUGCAUGAAGCCCUAGGUUUGAUUCCUCAGUACCA